rnacentral:antisense_RNA from 6 species
CUUGAUGGCGACCGUGCACGGGCAGACUUCGGUCUGGCCGGGCUUCCUAUGUUCACUCGGUUUCUCACCCUGUGCACGGUUGCCGCCUUU